AUUGAACGCUGGCGGCAGGCCUAACACAUGCAAGUCGAGCGGAUGAGUGGAGCUUGCUCCAUGAUUCAGCGGCGGACGGGUGAGUAAUGCCUAGGAAUCUGCCUGGUAGUGGGGACAACGUUUCGAAAGGAACGCUAAUACCGCAUACGUCCUACGGGAGAAAGUGGGGGAUCUUCGGACCUCACGCUAUCAGAUGAGCCUAGGUCGGAUUAGCUAGUUGGUGAGGUAAAGGCUCACCAAGGCGACGAUCCGUAACUGGUCUGAGAGGAUGAUCAGGCACACUGGAACUGAGACACGGUCCAGACUCCUACGUGAGGCAGCAGUGGGGAAUAUUGGACAAUGGGCGAAAGCCUGAUCCAGCCAUGCCGCGUGUGUGAAGAAGGUCUUCGGAUUGUAAAGCACUUUAAGUUGGGAGGAAGGGCAGUAAGUUAAUACCUUGCUGUUUUGACGUUACCAACAGAAUAAGCACCGGCUAACUUCGUGCCAGCCGCCGCCGUAACAC
rnacentral:rRNA from 1 species